GAUGAACGCUGGCGGCGUGCCUAAUACAUGCAAGUCGAGCGAACAGACGAGGAGCUUGCUCCUCUGACGUUAGCGGCGGACGGGUAAGUAACACGUGGAUAACCUACCUAUAAGACUGGGAUAACUUCGGGAAACCGGAGCUAAUACCGGAUAAUAUAUUGAACCGCAUGGUUCAAUAGUGAAAGACGGUUUUGCUGUCACUUAUAGAUGGAUCCGCGCCGCAUUAGCUAGUUGGUAAGGUAACGGCUUACCAAGGCAACGAUGCGUAGCCGACCUGAGAGGGUGAUCGGCCUCACUGGAACUGAGACACGGUCCAGACUCCUACGGGAGGCAGCAGUAGGGAAUCUUCCGCAAUGGGCGAAAGCCUGACGGAGCAACGCCGCGUGAGUGAUGAAGGUCUUCGGAUCGUAAAACUCUGUUAUUAGGGAAGAACAAAUGUGUAAGUAACUAUGCACGUCUUGACGGUACCUAAUCAGAAAGCCACGGCUAACUACGUG
rnacentral:rRNA from 1 species